rnacentral:tRNA from 1 species
GCGCGGGUGGUGAAACUGGUAUACACGCAUCCUUGAGGUGGAUGUGCCGAAAGGCGUGGAGGUUCAAGUCCUCUCCCGCGCACCA